CAGCAGCCGCGGGAAUACAGAGGAUGCAAGCGUUAUCUGGGAUGAUUGGGCGUAAAGCGACUGUAGGUGGCUUUUCAAGUCUGCAGUCAAAUCCCCGGGCUCAACCUGGGAACUGCAUUUGUGACUGGCAAGCUAGAGUAUGGCAGAGGGGGGUGGAAUUCCGCGUGUAGCAGUGAAAUGCGUAGAUAUGCGGAGGAACACCGAUGGCGAAGGCAGCCCCCUGGGCCAAUACUGACGCUCAUGCACGAAAGCGUGGGGAGCAAACAGGAUUAGAUACCCCAGUAGUCCCUGUCUCUUAUAC
rnacentral:rRNA from 1 species